rnacentral:lncRNA from 1 species
CUCCUUUUUGCACACACACGAAUACAAAGAGCCAUACGACCUUCGGGUAUCCUUUUUCCAUUUUUUCCCUCCUUAAUCUUGUGUGUGUUUUCAAAAAUUUUAAAAAUAGAGAUCUGUGGCAGUGCUGGGGUGAGGAAACUGUUGCUAAGGGGAAUUUGCGCUUUCCCCCAUUUCUUUUUCUGUCUCUCUUCCUCUUUCUUUUUCCUGGUCAAGGUUUUAAAUAUACCAAGAAGUUGAGAAGCAGGAUGGCCGUGUACAACUAUUUCCAGCCAAAUUUAUAGAGAUUUUUUUUUUCUUUUUGUUAUCACAUUUUAAGAACUGGUAAAUUUUUAUGGCCGAGGCGGGGCGAAGGGAUAAUGUAAAUUUCUGCCACGGGCAACGUCAAGGGCAACGUGGAAAGAAGCGGAGACUUGAGAGACUCCCUCACAAAGCUGUUGGCCACUGCAGGCCAUCGCUUUUUAGCUUCUUGGGAGAGAGAGCUCGUCGUCCCAGGGAGGUACACAACCCAAGCCUCUGACUUGCUUGAUUUUUACAAGGAACCUAGGCUCAUGUCCAGUGUCCUUGAUUUGAGUCCCACGAACAUAUGAUUGGCUUGGCCUUCCUACCAAAGCACAGCUAAACUCGGUUGACUGUGGGACUCGCGGGGCUCCUAAAGAUGAAAACUUUGAACUAAAGGGGAACUGCCACCUUGCUAGUGGUAUCUAAAAGAUCCGUAACCAAGGCCGACAGGAAUUAAAAGCCUUCCACCACCAAAUGUAUGAGACCUAUUUGUGGCAUUGAAUUUAUAAUCGUGUACACGCAGCUUUGUAAGCAGCAAAGAACAAACCCGUGUAAACAAAACAAAACAAGCUAAAGAUGGCGCCUGACGGCCUUGAAAAAGCCUCGUAGUCGUGUCCCUCCCUGAAGUGGCCCCUCCCCUCCCUGGCUCGUUGAGUGAUUGUGGAUUGCAGCCAAUAACGUCCCUGGUCCUGCCCCCCACCGUCCAAUCGCCAAUCACCGGGAGCCAGAGGACGGGAGGGGCG